rnacentral:rRNA from 1 species
UACAUGGGGUGCAAACGUUGCUCGGAAUUAUUGGGCGUAAAGCGCACGUAGGUGGUCCCUUAAGUCGGAUGUGAAAUCCCUCGGCUCAACUGAGGACGUGCAUCCGAAACUGAGGGGCUAGAGUAUGGUAGAGGGUCGCGGAAUUCCCGGUGUAGAGGUGAAAUUCGUAGAUAUCGGGAGGAACACCGGUGGCGAAGGCGGCGACCUGGGUAGAUACUGACGCUGAGGUGCGAAAGCCAGGGGAGCGAACGGG